UGAUGUCCUGCAAGAUCCUCAUAAAGCCCUC
rnacentral:piRNA from 1 species